rnacentral:rRNA from 1 species
GACGAACGCUGGCGGCAUGCCUAAUACAUGCAAGUCGAACGAGGGGCGGACGGGUGAGUAACACGUGGGAACCUACCCAUCAGAGGGGGAUAACACGUGGCAACUGGUGCUAAUACCGCCUAUUGGUGGAUGGAGCCGCGGGGCAUUAGCUAGUUGUUGAGGUAACGGCUCACCAAGGCCACGAUGAAUAGCUGACCUGAGAGUGUGAUCAGCAACACUGGAACUGAGACACGGCCCAGACUCCUACGGGAGGCAGCAGUGGGGAAUAUUGCACAAUGGGCGCAAGCCUGAUGCAGCCAUGCCGCGUGUAUGAAGAAGGCCUUAGGGUUGUAAAGUACUUUCAGCGGGGAGGCGUUACCCGCAGAAGAAGCACCGGCUAACUCCGUGCCAGCAGCCGCGGUAAUUC